GAGAGGUUGAUGAAGUGGCUGGAGCUAGCCCACUCACAUGCCCCCUUCCAGACUUGUUACAGAAGAUGAUGAUCGGAUGCUUUGAAACAGACUGCGCAUGAGCAGCAAGCAUCCUCCCAGAACAUGUCCCAGGGCGUGGUCUCUUUCCAGUCACUGCACCUUUGAGGGAAGAAUGGGAUCUAGUUGGCUAAGCACCCAGGACAACUCUGGCAACUCACCGCCCCCCCCUGUGAAUCCACCUCGUCCAGGAGUACCAUUCUGCAGUAAGGACACGUAGCUCGAUGUUCUUCCUACACUCAACAGUCACGACUGGAGAGGAGGGGACAGGACAGAAGGUGCCUUAGGGAUGAGAUCUCAUGAUGGACGCACAGGACAUGGAAAGCUGCAUGAACACUGUGUCUGCUUGGAUUUGGAGAAAAACAGAGCCUUGCAGCCAUGAG
rnacentral:lncRNA from 1 species